rnacentral:lncRNA from 1 species
AAACGUUGAAGGAUACUUCUCAUGUUGUAUAACACAUCGAUUCUUGCAAAUCAAGGAAUGCCAAUUUUCAUUAUUUUGGGAGAAAUCAAGAGGCAUGAUAUAAGAAAUCAAUCAUUUGGAGACUAAAUCUUGGUUUUGGAACAAAAAAGAGAAAGGAGUAGCUCGAGAUUAAUCAAGAAAGAUUGAAGAGAUUCAAGAUUUCGUGGGUUCUCUUCUUGUUCUUCAUAUAUCUCAAAUUCGGGUGAUGCCUUACAAUCUAAACAUGAUUUAUUAUAAUUUUGUAAUGAGAUACUAGAUUUUCAGUCACUAAGAUAUAGAUAAACCCUUGUUAUGAAGUUUCAAUAUCAAUUGCAAUACUUUG